rnacentral:rRNA from 1 species
CGGGAAUAUUGCGCAAUGGACGGAAGUCUGACGCAGCGACGCCGCGUGAGCGAUGAAGGCCUUCGGGUCGUAAAGCUCUGUCCUUGGGGAAGAAGGUCUUCGGACUUGACGGUACCCAAGAAGAAAGCCCCGGCUAACUACGUGCCAGCAGCCGCGGUAAUACGUAGGGGGCGAGCGUUGUCCGGAAUUACUGGGCGUAAAGGGUGCGUAGGCGGCCCUUUAAGUCAGAUGUGAAAGGCCACGGCUUAACCGUGGGAUUGCAUUUGAAACUGGAGGGCUUGAGUGUCGGAGAGGGUAGUGGAAUUCCCAGUGUAGCGGUGAAAUGCGUAGAUAUUGGGAGGAACACCAGUGGCGAAGGCGACUACCUGGACGAUAACUGACGCUGAGGCACGAAAGCUAGGGGAGCAAAC